rnacentral:lncRNA from 1 species
AUCGAGCAAAGGCUUCCCAUACCUUAUGGUAAGUAGAAGAAGUAGAAGGAUUCCUGGAACGUAACAGGGUAGAGAUAACCUGGUCCGAAAGGCCAUGUUCAACUAUAGACUUCCUCUCAAUAGCCAUGCAUGGAGCCUGAAUUUGUGAGGCACCGGAUGAAACACUGGACCCUGAAUCAGCAGGUCUUCGAGACUGGAAGUUCCCAAGGCAGGUCCAUUGAUAACCUCUGUAACAGGGGAAACCAAGGGCGACGAGGCCAGAAGGGAAGUACAGCUAUCAACUUGCAACGUUCCUUGGAGAUCUUUCUCAGGACAGCGUGGAUGAGGGGAAUUGGAGGAAAGAUGUAAGCCAGAUCGAAUACCCAAUUGAUGGAUAGAGCAUCCUGAGCAACCGCCUUUGGAUGGUAUCUCCUCGACACAAAGCAUGGAACCUGCGCAUUCCGAAAGGUCGCCAUGAGGUCUACUUGGGGAAGUCCCCACUUCUGGACCAACUGAGCGAAGAUCCUCCUGGAAAGUUGCCAUUCCGAAGCUUCUAUCCGAUGUCUGCUGAGGAAAUCACUAAUAUAUUCUCCUUCCAUGGGAGAUAGGUGGCAAACAGGCCCUUCACAUGAUUCUGAGCCCAGGUCAUAAUGGGAACGAUCUCUCUCAUCAGGGCUACACUCCUUGUUCCGCCUUGAUGGUUUAUGUAAGCAGCAGCCGCUUUGUUGUCCACUCUCAACUUGACCCAGCAAUGCCUGAUGACAUGCUGAAAAUGAAGAAGAGCCAGAAAGGUUGCUCUUAGCUCCCUGAUGUUGGAAGGCAAGCAUUGGGUUCUUGGAGGCCAUUUUGCUUGAAAAAAUCGAUUGCCUAAAUGUGCCCCCCAACCUGUCAGACUGGCAUCUGUCGUAAUGACCACCCAAUCUAUUUCCCGCAAGGGGAACCCUCAGGAGAGAUUUUCCCACGACAUCCACCAAAGGAGCUUCUGCUUCAGAACAAAAGGAAUGCGAAUCAGUGUCUCCCAAUCCCUUGAGUCGGUCCUGAAAUUUUUCAGAAAAAAUUGUUGAAGAGCGCGAAGGUUCCACUGAGCCCACCUGACAAGCUCUAUUGUGGAGGAAAGAGUCCCCAGAAGCAUCAUAAACUCUCUUGCCGAGGCUGAAGUCUUCAGUCUGAAGUCCCUUAUCUGAUCUUGAAGUAUGAUCUUUCUGUCAUGUGCGAGGGAUACAAUUGCCGUGUCUGUAUUGAAAUUUGCUCCCAGGAAUAUCAGUUCUCUUGAAGGAUGCAAGUGACUCUUCUCAUAAUUGAUGAGCCAACCGAAAUGAGAUAGAGUGUCGAGGACUAGUUGUCUGUGUUGGAAUAUUGAUCCUAGGUCCAGGGCCACUACCAGGAUGUCGUCCAGGUAGUGAAACACCGCUACACCUUCUUUUCUGAGCAAAGCAAUGAUGGUGACCAGAACCUUCGAGAAGGUCCUCGGGGCCGUACUUAUACCAAAAGGAAGGGCCUGAAAUUGAAAGUGUUCCUUCCGGACACAAAACCUGAGAAACUUUUGAUGGGUGAUCGUGAUAGGGACAUGAAAAUAUGCAUCCCUGAGAUCUACUGAUAUCAUCCAAUCUCGGUGAUGAACAACCGGAAUGAUGGAGCGAAUGGAUUCCAUGCG